rnacentral:rRNA from 1 species
UACAGAGGUCCCAAGCGUUGUUCGGAUUCACUGGGCGUAAAGGGUGCGUAGGUGGUGGGGUAAGUUUGAUGUGAAAGCUCCGAGCUUAACUCGGAAAUGGCAUUGAAUACUAUCCUGCUUGAGGUUUGGAGGGGGACUGGAAUUCUCGGUGUAGCAGUGAAAUGCGUAGAUAUCGUAAGGAAGACCAGUGGCGAAGGCGGGUCUCUGGACAGUUCCUGACGCUGAGGCACGAAGGCCAGGGAGCAAACAGG